rnacentral:lncRNA from 1 species
AUGAGACGACACUUGGGGAGACGCACGGGGUGUAGGCGGAAGAGGGGGAAAAAAAAAAAAUUACGCGCCGCCGCCAAGCCUUUGAAUAAAUUAGAGGGAAUUUCGGUGCGAACUUUCCUUGACCUCGACCCCCAAGAGGCUCGUCGGGGCAGAGAAGGGAGCCCGUCCGGGAUGCGGAGGGGAGCAGGGCACCGGUGUCCUCCUCGCGCCAGACCCGCUCCGCGAGGCGCCGACCGCGUAGAGGGCAGCGCCUGCGGCUGUCCAACUCCCGCAAGGGUCGCUCGGGCCGGCGCGGGACACAAUGGGCCCGCGGGCCGCGCGGACGGGCCUCGGCCCGGCUGCGGAAAGGGAAAGAGAAACGGGGAGCGGGCGGAGGGAGAGGGUGGAAUGGGAGGUCCCGCCGCGGCCGGGGCCGGGGGCGAGGCUCGGGGCCGAGGAGCGCGGCUUCCCCACUGCAGACCCAACAAAGACGCGAGGAGAACCCCGGCCGAGCCCUGCCUGCCUGGCCGCCUGGGCGCCAGGACAGGAGGAGGUGGCAGGUUCGCUCCUCGGAACGGCCGGGAGGCGCCAUCAUGGGGGGGGGGGUCCCCGGUCCGCCCCACGCGGGGAAGAGCCCCCUCCCCGCCGCGGCCCGCGUCACCGGCCCCGCACGACCGCGGCAGCCCGGCGGGCCCGCGCCUGCCCCACAAGAGGCGGCGGCGGCGCUGGAAAGCCCAGGGAGCCGAAGGAGGGCGGGGACGCGGCAAAGGAGAAAGUUGGGCUCAGAAAAUUGCCACAACAGAUGGUAUUUCUGCUGGUGAUGGAGAAGGAGAGGGUGAAUGCAGUGAUGUGCUCCGAAUGGCUCUGCCUGGCUUGUGAGAGCCGAUAGGUUCUGGACUGGAACCUAGAGCUACAAUUCCAACUCAUCCACAAUCAAGCAAACUGAAAAAGACAUUAGAAACUCCAAACUUUCUUUAGAGGCUUGGACUACAUUUAAGGAAAAUGGCAAGCAAAUAGACCUAUUAUUGUCCAUCCUGUAGUCGAGGCUGAUGGAUCUGAAACUUGGGAGACAGAACAAGAUCAGUCCAACUUCUUGGAGAGAGAAAACAAAAUGUUAGUGCUCUGGUAUGAUAAUUUAGUACUUUUCUUUGGUGAAAUCAGAGCACUUCACACACUUUGGUUUCUGAUCUUUUUGUUUACUAGAGAAAAAUCCUAGUUAGGUAGGUUUUCCUGAAUAUAAAAGGAAGAAGAAUUUAACCCUUUUCCAGGCCUUACUAUCAUAAAUAUAGAACACGCAUAAAGGUAAGUGGUAAUAAUCUAGUUGUUUCUUCUCUUUCAAUUCAGGAGAAUAUAUCUACCUGUCCUUUCCUGUUCAGAGAAGAUAGAUUUUUCCACUCUCCUCUGACAUUUUUUGGACUCAUAAUUGGUGUUUGAAAAACUUCAUUCAAUGGUAGUGAGAAAGCCCACUUGAGGAAUUGGCAAAAUGAGAGGCUCACUAUGACUGUUCUUGGGCUCUUGUCUGAGGCAGUUGUGGUGCUAUGGUAAGGGCUUUGGCGCGAAGUCAGAUCCACACCCCUUAGCUGUAGUACUUAUUAGCUCUGUGACCUUGAGCCAGUCCACCCUCUUCCUCAAUCUCUAUCCUUAUAACAUGGAAAAAUCCUCAAAGAUGUUGCUUUACCUCUUCUGGCCCGUACUCAGUAUAUUGGUAUGUUCCCUGUGAAUGUCACUUUCUCUGCAAGCCCUUACCAGGCUCCCCUGCCUAAAGUUUCACCCUACCACAACCAAACUCUUCCUCUAACCCGUAUCCUUCUACUAUGCAUUUUACUUGUUUAUCUAGUUUACUGUGUCUGGGGGCACCUGGCUGGCUCAGUUAGAAGAGUAUGUGACUCUUGAUCUUGGGGUUGUGAGUUCAAGCUCCAUGUUGAGUGUAGAAAUUACUUAAAUAAAUAAAAAUAAACUUAAAAAAAAACA